GUUUUUCCAGCUAAGAGGGUGAUGAAAAA
rnacentral:sRNA from 1 species